AUUGAACGCUGGCGGCAUGCCUUACACAUGCAAGUCGAACGGCAGCACGGGUGCUUGCACCUGGUGGCGAGUGGCGAACGGGUGAGUAAUACAUCGGAACAUGUCCUGUAGUGGGGGAUAGCCCGGCGAAAGCCGGAUUAAUACCGCAUACGAUCUACGGAUGAAAGCGGGGGACCUUCGGCCCUCGCGCUAUAGGGUUGGCCGAUGGCUGAUUAGCUAGUUGGUGGGGUAAAGGCCUACCAAGGCGACGAUCAGUAGCUGGUCUGAGAGGACGACCAGCCACACUGGGACUGAGACACGGCCCAGACUCCUACGAGAGGCAGCAGUGGGGAAUUUUGGACAAUGGGCGAAAGCCUGAUCCAGCAAUGCCGAGUGUGUGAAGAAGGCCUUCGGGUUGUAAAGCACGUUUGUCAGGAAAGAAAUCCUUGGCCCUAAUACGGUCGGGGGAUGACGGUACCGGAAGAAUAAGCACCGGCUAACUACGUG
rnacentral:rRNA from 1 species